ensembl:lncRNA
CUCGAGCCCUUAAUGCCACCGUUCUGCAUGGUGAGGCCAGGAAAUGGUGCUCUCCCAAAUGAGGCUGGGGGAAUCUAAUGCUGGGGAAUGGAUGGGAAACAACUCCUUGAGGGUUUCCUCUCCGUAUCAGUACUUCCUCAGUCCUCCAUCCUAACAUGGAUAAGAAAUUACCAAUGCUGAGAUCUAUCCUGAAGAAAAACUUGUGCCUUCCUUCAUAGUAACAAGAAAGCUUUUCAUCAUCAUCAGGGAAUCGAAACAAACAACUCCGACAAGAUGUACCGAGCUAGUCUUAGAAACAGCCUGCAAGAAUGAAAGCUGAACAAGGAGGAUUUGUGGUAAAAGGGCAGAAGUCAUCUGAUAUAGGCAGUGCAAACACCCCUGCAAAUGGCUCUGACGCUUCAGAGCUGAGUCUACAGAGCCAAGUGGCGCUGCCUGGAUGGAUCCACAGGGACUGCGAGGGCCAGGCCCUGGGCUGAACAACGAGGAGGAGUCUUCCUCUGUCCCUUCACAGACGAUCCUGUCUCUUAAUGGAAGUGGUUACUUGAGAGCAUGCUAAGUCCCUCCCCAGGGUUUCAUUCACAAGUUAUCCUCAAGGUGGUCAAAGAUCUUUUCUUACCAAAGAAUGAGAAAGAAAAAGGGGAAAACGUAUCUGAAGCUGUUAAAGUUUUACUCACCGUUGAGUCUUAAAUGCAGCUUUGAAACUCCAUGCCCCAACUUUGUGACAGCUUCCUUAAGAGCAAGGAGAUCCAUCGUGAAAUACACGCUCGGAAAAAAAUCCCUCUGCAGAACUCGAGCUCCUUCAGCUGAGCAGUUCAGACUAUCUAUAUCUCAGUAACAUCUGGUAGAUGUGUUUGUUGCUCAGCUUCCGUUUGUAAAUAUGUUUGCUCUUAGCGCCAUGUGUUAAUAUGAUUUUCUGUGUAGGGGUGGAUUAUUUUUCACUGUGUGAUACAGCUAAUAUCCCAUUUGUAAAAACAUAACUUAGCAGCUUUGUCAAAAUAUAUACGGUCAUUAAAAGCUAAUAGGUAACUGG